rnacentral:lncRNA from 10 species
GUGUGUGCCCUCCCUGACUCCUGCCCCAUUUCCAGACCCGGCUCACGCGUACUUCUCACACUAAGCAGUCUCACUGAAGCCACCGCUUGGAAUCUGCGGUGUUUACUGUCUGCCCCGCCCCUUUUGUUUGCCCGUUUGUUAUGGAGGUGUGUGUUUAAACGGGCAAAGCAGCGUGCUGCCAGGGACACCAGGAAAGCCCACUUAGCCAUCAACUGGAGACUCUGACAACUAGAAGAAACCUGGAAGGCCACGUGACAGAUAUGGAGACAGGCUGAGAGAAGAGUGGAAGAGGAUGUCAAUGGGCAGGAAUGGAGCCAAACUCUACGGGAGAACGGAGCUGGCCAGGCAGAGCUGCUGGACACCUGAGGCUCCCUCCUUCCACCACAAACACCACUGCCCCAUGGCCUAGAGAGAACCAUCCUCUGACGUGAGCAGGACAAUGACGAUCACCACUGUGUAAAUCCUGACACUGGACCAGAGGAAUU